rnacentral:rRNA from 1 species
AUGGCUCCGGCCUUCGUCUGGGUUUGGUGGCUACCACUGAUUCUAGUGGCGGCUGAGAAGCAGCAACGAGAGGGCUGCUCGAGCUCGGCCAAGACAUGCGGCAACCUGACCAUCUCCGACCCCUUCUUGCUCGCCAACAUGGAGACGGGAAGACCAUGUGGUUCCUCGGACUUUGAGGACACUUGCUCUAGGAACACUCCAAUUCUACGGAGCUCUAUACCCUCGGGUUUAGGCUUUGAAGUAAUCAACAUCUCUUACAAGGAACGCAGCUUGCGAGUCGCUGAUGGAGGCAAGCUGAACCUUGCACGCCUCCAGCACCUGCCAACUAGUGAUGUUGAACACCUCUGUCUAAAUGCCGCGGCGACGGCUGCAGAACGUCAGGAGAAAGAGCUUGUGCAGACGAGCAUUAGGUGCGGGAAAGACAACAAGGUGCUUGUCCGCACGGGACGGCGUUACGAUGAGACAAGCAACUACGGCAGCUACGCCAUAGAGGGAUGCGUCGCCGCCUGUCAUGCCGGUGCUGGGCACAUCGUCCGGCGAGGAUUGAGAACAGGUCUAGGAUAUAGUACGGUGCUAUUUAGCCCACGUGGGUUCGAGUCACGGAGUGACCCGUGGUACCUCCAAGGACCAAGAAUAUUGGCAUGUAUCCACCCUCAGUCCCUCACUCCUCUCCGUCUCGGUCUCACUGUUCAUCUUGCUUCACCGUGUGCACGCCGAGUGUGA